ACUGGACACUGUCAGGUUGGAUCCUGCUGGAGUCCGAUGGUUGACACCAGGUCCAUGCAGAUAUUUCUGUGAACUCACCCUGGAUCCAAACACAGCGACAGACGCCUCAAACUGUCUGAAAACAACAAGAGGUGGAACAUGUGGAGGGG